rnacentral:rRNA from 1 species
UGGGAAUCAGGUUAAUAUUCCUGAACCUGCGUCAGAUGCGAUGGGGGGACGGAGCAUGAAAGAUCAUCCGGGUGUUGGAUGUCCCGGUUGAUGAGCGUAGGAGGUCUGCAGGCAAAUCCGCAGACGCAUCUCCAAGGCAAAGACACGUGCCGCCACGGCGGCGAAGUGAUCGGAAGUGCUUCCAAGAAAAGCCUCUAAGCACCAGUCUGACGCGGACCGUACCGCAAACCGACACUGGUGGGCGAGCUGAAUAUGCUCAGGCGCUUGAGAGAACUCGGGAGAAGGAACUCGGCAAAUUGACACCGUAACUUCGGAAGAAGGUGUGCCGUAGUACCGUGAGAGGAGAGACACCUUGAGCGGGAAUCGGUCUCAGAGAAUAGGUGGCUGCGACUGUUUAUUAAAAACACAGCACUCUGCAAAGUCGAAAGACGACGUAUAGGGUGUGAUGCCUGCCCGGUGCUGGAAGAUUAAUUGAUGGGGUGAGAGCCCUUGAUCGAAGUCCCAGUAAACGGCGGCCGGAACUAUAACGGUCCUAAGGUAGCGAAAUUCCUUGUCGGGUAAGUUCCGACCUGCACGAAUGGCAUAACGAUGGCCACACUGUCUCCUCCCGAGACUCAGUGAAGUUGAAAUGUUUGUGAUGAUGCAAUCUACCCGCGGCUAGACGGAAAGACCCCAUGAACCUUUACUGCAGCUUUGCAUUGAACUGUGAACCGAUUUGUGUAGGAUAGGUGGGAGGCAGAGAAGAGGCCACGCCAGUGGUCUUGGAGCCGACCUUGAAAUACCACCCUGAUUUGUUUGCGGUUCUAACCACGGACAGUGAUCCUGUCUUGGGACCGUGCAUGGUAGGCAGUUUGACUGGGGCGGUCUCCUCCUAAAGGGUAACGGAGGAGUACGAAGGUACGCUAGGUACGGUCGGAAAUCGUGCUGAUAGUGCAAUGGCAAAAGCGUGCUUGACUGCGAGAGCAACAACUCGAGCAGAUGCGAAAGCAGGUCAUAGUGAUCCGGUGGCUCUGA